CCUGGUGUUUAUGGCGCGGUGGAACCACUCUCAUCCAUCCCGAACUGAGGUGUGAAACGCUGUUGCGGCGAAGAUAGUUGGGGGGUAGCUCCCUGCAAAAAUAGCUCAAUGCCAGGU
rnacentral:rRNA from 1 species